rnacentral:rRNA from 1 species
UACGGGGGGAGCAAGCGUUGUUCGGAUUUACUGGGCGUAAAGGGCGCGUAGGCGGUCAGCACAAGUCAGUUGUGGAAAUCUCCGGGCUUAACUCGGAAAGGUCAACUGAUACUGUGCGACUAGAGUGCGGAAGGGGCAACUGGAAUUCUCGGUGUAGCGGUGAAAUGCGUAGAUAUCGAGAGGAACACCUGCGGCGAAGGCGGGUUGCUGGGCCAGUUCUGACGCUGAGGAGCGAAAGCGUGGGGAGCGAACAGG